rnacentral:rRNA from 1 species
UAGAGUUUGAUCAUGGCUCAGGAUGAACGCUAGCGGGAGGCUUAAUACAUGCAAGUCGUAACAAGGUAGCCGUAA